UGCAGUCGAAGGAGAAGCGGGCUUCGGCCCGUGGACACUGGCGAAAGGGCGAGUAAUGCAUUCGAACGUACCCCGAGGUGGAGGAUAGCUGUGGGAAACCGCAGGUAAUACUCCAUGUGCUCUAACGAGGAAAGCUCCGGCGCCUUGGGAGCGGCGAAUGUCCUAUCAGGUUGUUGGUGAGGUAACGGCUCACCAAGCCGAAGACGGGUAGCGGGUGUGAGAGCAUGACCCGCCGCAUCGGGACUGAGACACUGCCCGGACUCCUACGGGAGGCUGCAGUAACGAAUAUUCCGCAAUGCGCGAAAGCGUGACGGAGCAAUGCCGCGUGUGGGAUGAAGCGGUUACGCCGUGUAAACCACUGUCAGGGUCUAGGAAGAACUGACCAGACCCAGAGGAAGGGCCGGCUAAUCUCGUGCCAGCAGCCGCGGUAAGACGAGAGGCCCAAGCGUUAAUCGGAAUCACUGGGCUUAAAGGGUGCGUAGGCGGACUUGUAGGUGUGUCGUGAAAUCCCCCGGCUCAACCGGGGAACUGCGGUGCAAACCACAAGUCUUGAGGUAGGUAGAGGUUGUCGGAACGUUCGGUGGAGCGGUGAAAUGCGUUGAUAUCGAACGGAACGCCGAUGGUGAAGACAGGCAACUGGGCCUUACCUGACGCUGAGGCACGAAAGCGUGGGGAUCAAACAGGAUUAGAUACCCUGGUAGUCCACGCCGUANACGAUGUGCACUAGACCGAUGCGGGUCUGACCCCGAGUCGGUCGUAGAGAAAUUAUUAAGUGCACCGCCUGGGGAGUACGGUCGCAAGACUAAAACUCAAAGGAAUUGACGGGGGCUCACACAAGCGGUGGAGCAUGUUGCUUAAUUCGAAGCAACGCGAAGAACCUUUUACAGGCUUGACAUGCAUGGAUUAGCUCAUGGGAACAUGAGUAACGC
rnacentral:rRNA from 1 species